UGUAUGUCGAGUUUGUGUUUCUGAGGAUUCACAGCACACAGAUGAUGGAUGGUGAGAGGAUGAGUCUGUCUCUUUGGAUUCUCUGAGUCAGGACGGAUUUACAGCUUUGGAUUGAUUUUACAUAUUUAUCAAGCUCUUUAGAGUUCUGUGGUGUCAGACCAGAGGCCCUAAAAUAACCCAAGCAGAGAUAGACCCAUAGAGGGGUCAGGAAGUGAAGUCAGAGCACAUCAACAGUUCAACUGCAGUGGGAGUCUCAGUGUGUCCCUCCACUAAGACCAACGAGCAAGAGUACUUCAGAGCAUGAUGGAGACUACAAGAACAUUCUGGAUGUUUCUGCUGAUCAACCAGCUGCCGUUCUGUCUGACUGAUGCCAGUCAAUCAACUACUCAACUUUAUUCCUCCACAAACCAAGAUUCAAGCUCUGUUCUGGAGCCCAAUGUCACUACGAUCGACACAAACUCUUUUGAAACAGGCACAAAUGACACCAGAGCUGACUGCCUGAUCGACACUGAGAUGGGUCUGAUUGCUUUAGGCUCAGCGGGGGGACUCAUUGUCUGCCUGCUGGUAGCCACAGUGGUGUUAGCAUUUCAGGUCUGGCACCUGCAGCACCGCCCUCUUGUUCCAAGGAGCUCCAGGUCCAACAUGGACUUGGUUGGCAGCGCGGGCUACUGGGGUGACGACCGGCCAGA